GCCAUGCUGGCUGGCUGGCUGGCUGGCUGGCUGGCUGGCUGGCCGGCCUAUUACACACAGCUUUCUCUCCAGCAACCGCAGCAGAUAAAUUCCCCGCUUUAUAAGGUGGUUAACUAACCGUUCCUUUCUCCCUCUGAGAAGAUUGUCCCGUCUCAUCAUUUUCGUCGACGUCUGCGACUCUCUGUGGCCUGUGUUUCGUCUCUUCCAUAGACAGUAGCAAUGGAGAUUCUCACGCUUACUGGUUUGUUGAAGAAAUCCGCCGAUGAAUUCCCAUCCCGAAGAGCUCUGUCCUCCUCCGGUAAGUUCGAUCUAACACAUACUCGAUUGCAAGCACUCAUCGAACAAGCCGCCUCUCGCCUUGUCGCCUUCGGCAUUAAACCUGGCGAUGUCGUCGCUCUUACCUUCCCUAACACCGUCGAGUUUGUGAUUAUGUUCUUGGCCGUAAUCCGAGCACGAGCCACGGCCGCUCCACUCAACGCAGCCUACACGCAGGACGAGUUUGACUUCUACCUGUCCGAUUCUGAAUCGAAGAUCCUCUUAACAUCAGAAGAAGGAAAUCCGUCCGCUCAGGCCGCCGCUUCGAGUCUCAACAUUCCUCACGUAACCGCUUCGCUAUCUCAGGCAGAAAGCGGCAUAAAUCUGUCUUCUUCGUCGCCAACCGAUUCAAAAGCCGAUUCGGAGCUAAAAUCGGUGUCUCUGAUCGUGAACGAACCAUCCGACGUGGCACUCUUCCUCCAUACCUCAGGCACAACGAGUAGACCUAAAGGUGUACCGCUGACUCAGCUGAACCUCGCGUCGUCAGUACAGAAUAUCAAAUCGGUCUACAGACUGACAGAAUCGGACUCAACAGUAAUCGUACUCCCGCUCUUCCACGUGCACGGUUUACUCGCCGGGUUACUGAGUUCGCUCGUUGCCGGAGCUGCCGUGGCACUCCCCGCGGCAGGACGGUUCUCCGCUUCUACGUUUUGGUCAGAUAUGAUUAAUUACAACGCCACUUGGUACACUGCGGUCCCUACUAUUCAUCAGAUCAUCUUAGACAGGCAUCUGAGCAAACCCGAGCCGGCUUACCCGAAGCUGCGUUUCAUAAGGAGUUGCAGCGCAUCACUUGCGCCGGCUAUAUUGAGUCGGCUAGAGGAGGCAUUCGGGGCUCCGGUGUUGGAGGCUUACGCUAUGACGGAAGCUUCACAUCUGAUGUCAUCGAACCCGUUGCCAGAGGACGGUCCGCAUAAACCGGGUUCGGUUGGGAAACCGGUGGGGCAAGAGAUGGCGAUUUUGGAUGAGAAUGGUGUGCCACAGCCGGCGCAGGUUAGUGGCGAGGUAUGUAUAAGGGGGCCGAACGUAACCAUGGGCUACAAAAACAACCCUGAAGCUAAUAAGGCAGCUUUCAGCUUUGGAUGGUUCCACACCGGAGAUAUUGGUUUCAUGGAUUCCGCUGGUUAUUUGCAACUCGUAGGCCGCAUUAAGGAGCUAAUCAACCGGGGAGGGGAGAAGAUAUCACCAUUAGAGGUGGACGCAGUGAUUUUGGCGCAUCCGGACAUAGCUCAGGCGGUUGCUUUUGGAGUCCCCGACGAUAAAUAUGGUGAAGAGAUAAAUUGUGCCAUCAUCCCCGGAGAAGGGUCGAAAAUCGACGAAGAGGAGGUACUCAAGCAUUGCAAGAAAAACCUCGCAAGUUUCAAGGUCCCCAAGAAAGUCUUCAUAACUGAUACAGUCCCCAAGACUGCGACCGGAAAGAUCCAAAGGCGAAUUGUAGCUGAGCACUUCCUUGCUCAAAUCUCUGCAGCCAAAGUAUCUAAAUUUGGAGCAUAAUCCAACAAUAUCUUUGACAGAUUUCUAUCUAUGCUUGCUUAAAAUUAUGAACAGCUUGCCAACAUUCACUGAUGCUUGUCAUCAACACUAUCUUACUAUUGCGGAGGCCUGUAUUGAAAGAUCUAGUGGAUGACAUUAUAAUGGUCAAGGACGAAGAGAUCAUAAAGGCCAUGAGAUUGUUCUAUGAGAUUCUAAAGGAAGUUGUGGAGCAAUUCCGGGACAAUCCUGCUUGAAAAGACGGCAGGGACAUCUGGAUCGUACUUUCAUGAGGUAAUACCGUAAUAUUGAUGAUCUUACUGUACUGUGUGAGAGUUAUUCAAAAAGAAUUUGAAUGAAAAGUUGAUAAAAUUCUUGUUUC